ACAUUGAAACUGUGAAUGAGAGUCUUGAAGCAUUUGAUGCUGUUCUCAAUGACUUUAAGAAUGCUCAUGAAUCUGUGCUAGAGCUGGUCACAGAGGAGGAACAAGAACAGGAGAGCAUGAACUAUUAUCAACCAAGAAUGAGAACUUAUGAACAUUUCCUGAAAGAGGUGGAAAUAUGGAAAAAAGCUGAAGUUGAGCCACAAACGCUCAUUGAACCACACGACAGCAUUUCCAAUGUGUCAAAAACAUCAAGUAAAACAAAGUAUUCUAAGACGGCUUCCUCAGUGUCGUCUGCACGCCUAAAAGCUGAGGCAGAACGAGCAGCUCUACUAGCUCGCCAAGCAUCAUUACAGGACAAGCAUGCACUGGAACUGGAGAGAGCUCAACUGAAUGUUAGGAUGGAGAAAAUGGCACUGGAAACGGACAUGGCAGCAUAUAAUGCCAAACUGAAGGUCCUGGAGAGUGUUGAGUCAACUUCUCAAUCCCAUGCUGUGGCAGCCCAUUUACUAAGCCAAGAAGAUGGAAUGAACUCUUAUUUUGAGAACCAGGUACCUGAGGUCUAUGUGGAACCUGAAACAUCACCUGUUGAGUUUGCUGCAUUAGGUGCAGUUCCAAAUACCCCACUACAAAGGGUUUUACAACAACCGACAACAAAGCCAUCAAAACCUAUUCAGAAAACAGUCAUGAACCACACCCUUCAGCAGCCAACAGCAAGGUCUAGCAAUCAACACAGAAUCAACACUGCAGGUAUCAGCGAUAAUGCCAGCCAUGAUAACCUCUCUACUGUCAUGCAAAGGCAGAAUGAAAUUGCUGACCUCCUUGUACUACAGCACAAACAGGCCACACUCCCUGUUAGGGAGAUACCUAUGUUUGACGGUGAUCCUCUAAACUUUAGGCCAUUCAUGCGUGCAUUUGAACAUGGUAUAGAAGAUAAGACGAGCAGUCACCAGGAUAGGCUCUAUUACCUGGAACAGUACACCACUGGUCAGCCCAAGGAUCUGGUACGUAGUUGUCUGCAUAUGGAAGCCAGAAGAGGCUAUGCAGAGGCUAAGAGGUUGUUAAAGGAACACUUUGGCAAUGAAAUCAAAGUCACCACUGCUUACAUGGAAAAAGCUUGGAACUGGACAAACAUCAAACCGGAUGAUGGAAAGGGACUGGGUGGCUAUGCACUCUAUCUUAGAGGUUGCUGUAAUGCUAUGCAAGACCUACAGAACAUGGAAGAGCUUAAUCUUCCCUCCAACAUAAAGUUGAUCAUGUCAAAACUUCCCUACAAACUAAGGGAAAAAUGGAGGUCUACGGCAUGUGNNNNNNNNNNNNNNNNNNNNNNNNNNNNNNNNNNNNNNNNNNNNNNNN
rnacentral:lncRNA from 8 species